AUUGAACGCUGGCGGCAGGCUUAACACAUGCAAGUCGAGCGAGCGGCGGACGGGUGAGUAAUGUCUGGGAAACUGCCUGUUGGAGGGGGGUAAAUACUGGAAACGGUCGCUAAUACCGCAUCCCCUCAGAUGUGCCCAGAUGGGAUUGGCGAGUUGGUGGGGUAAUGGCUCACCUAGGCGACGAUCCCUAGCUGGUCUGAGAGGAUGACCAGCCCCACUGGAACGUGGAACCGGUCCAGACCCCGACGGCGGGCAGCGUUGGGGAAUAUCGCACAAUGGGCGCAAGCUGGAUGCGGCCAUGCGGCUUGUGUGUAGCGGCCCUUCGGUUUGUAAGGCACUUUCAGCGAGGAGGCGUUACUCGCAGAAGAAGCACCGGCUAACUCCGUGCCAGCAGCCGCGGUAAUAC
rnacentral:rRNA from 1 species